UCUGUGAUCCAACAACAAGCAGUCAACUCCUAUGUAGAUCUCCGCCGGCUUCUUCCUUCCCUUUUGUCCGCCCCGACUCCCCUGAUCUCGCCGUCCUCCUCUUACAGAUCCUCCUCACUCCCCAUGCAUGGCCGCCGCCACCUCCCCACCCAUGGCCAUCUGCCCCUCUGCGUCCCGCCACCGCCGCGAUGACAACCUCGUCCCCAGAGGCGGGGACUUCCCUGAAGCGAACCUAGCGGCGUUACAGUUGAUGUGGGUCGGGCGGCGGUCAGAUCUGCCACAGCCAGAACCGGCAUCCUCUUCCUCCCUAUCCAGCUUCCUCCCAAGGAUCCCAUGACGGAGAUCAACGUGGGAGGCUGCUUCCUCCGAUCCCAGACCAACCAUCCGUCGAUGCAGGCCAUGAGAGCCACGUGGGCACACACAUGGCUGCGAUUCAAGCUGCAGCUCGAGAGAUGCAGGGACGCCGCCAUGGAACAGUCAGGGUCUCCCUUAUCCUCCCGUUUCGUCCGAUCCGCCACUGCCAGCCAUUUCCGGCACCCCUGCACCAUGACUGUGAUGCCUAAGAAAAGGACUGGCAAAUAAAAUAGGAAUCCAAACUUGCAAAAUUCUCUUUUACAGACCGCUAGUACUACUGGGACUCUAGGUACAAGGCACAAUGUAAUUGCUCCAAAUACGCUCAUACAAGUUGCAAAAUGAAUUCUCGAAUGUUUCGACCAAUGGUAAGUCACAAGCUUGGUUUGUCUUCAUGUUAGCCUUUGUUUGAUACAAUGGUAAGUCACAAGCUUGGUUUGUCUUCAUGUUGGCCUUUAUUUGAUACGUAAAUGGCCUUCAUAAUGUGCAAUCAUCUACUUGCUUGCAUUAUUGUACUUUUUUUGUUGUUGAAGCACAUACAGUAGGGAAGCCAGAAAUAGAACAAUUUUCUCACCAUUAGAAAUUGUGAACUUGCGCCAGCAUGUAGUUGUUUCGGAGAAGUUUAGUUUGAUUAAUUUAGAUAAUUAUUAUUGUGUUUUAACUACAAAUUCUUUUGUGAAAUUAUCCAAUUCUUUUGGCAUAGCACCUAAUUGUUGAUGGAAUAGUACAACAGGCACACGAAUUUUCUUGCUAGCUGUCGUGGUCAUGACAAUUCGUCAGGAAGAUACCCAUGCAUGCACGAAUAUAGUAAUUAUACUAUUUUCAUGAUAGUGGUUAUAUCUUUCUGCUAAUUAGUCGUUGCGUUGUUCCUUUAUUUUCAUGACUAAGUAUUUUCUAUUUUCAAUUAACUUGAGCUAAAUAAAUUUCUGAUUUCUUCAUAACAGGAUCCAAAGAUUUAGCUGGAAUGGACUCUAGACCACGGACAAUUUAAUCUUCACUCUUAAUUAGGAUGGCACAUUCAGUAUGUUGAAUGUAUGCUAAAUUAUAUUACAGUUUAUUGUGAUGGAUAUCGGCUAUGCAAACUUUGAUGUUUGAUGAAUCUACAUCAUAUAUGCAUUAUUUGAAUCAUGUAAUUGAAUGCCAGUAUUUUUUUCUGA